rnacentral:rRNA from 1 species
ACAUGACGACAAUGUAAUGUUAAUGCAUCAGAUCCCAUUAGAAAUUUGUACUUAAGCACACUCAGGUUAGAGUAGUACUGAGAUGGGUGAUCACCCGAGAAGUCCCAAUGUUUUACAUGCC